CAUUGAACCACUGCGCUUUGUUACAGUUCGUCCAUCAGGAUACCAUCUGGGAUGAUGACCUUCAGGAAAUGCCAAGUUGGUCUUUCAUAUUUGCGAAAGGUGGUGGUUUCCUGACCGCGAAGUCUUUCACAGUUUGAAUUGACAACGUUCCUCUCAUGCAAGCAUGCAGUCCUAGAGAGGCGUUCAAGAUAUUAUUCCUGGCACGCUUUGCGUCAACGUUGCCUACCCAAAAGAGGCAAGUCUUCCCCUGGAGUUCACUCA
rnacentral:lncRNA from 1 species